rnacentral:rRNA from 1 species
UUGCCUACGGGAGGCAGCAGUGAGGAAUAUUGGUCAAUGGCCGGAAGGCUGAACCAGCCAAGCCGCGUGAAGGACGAAGGUGCCAAGCAUUGUAAACUUCUUUUGUCAAGGGGCAAAAUCAGGCUCGAGAGCCUGACCGAGGGUACUUGAAGAAAAAGCAUCGGCUAACUCCGUGCCAGCAGCCGCGGUAAUACGGAGGAUGCGAGCGUUAUCCGGAUUUAUUGGGUUUAAAGGGUGCGUAGGCGGUCCGUUAAGUCAGCGGUAAAAUUGCGGGGCUCAACCCCGUCGAGCCGUUGAAACUGGCG